GACGAACGCUGGCGGCGUGCUUAACACAUGCAAGUCGAACGGAAAGGCCCCUUUGGGUGUACUCGAGUGGAGCACGGGAGAAUAACACGUGAGUAACCUGCCCUAGACUUCGGGAAAUCCUCAGGAACCUGGGGCUAAUCCCGGAUAGGAAUCCUUGCUGCCUGGUGGGGGUUGGAAAUCUUCGGCGGGUUUGGGUGGCCUGCCGGCUUAUCGCCUUGUUGGUGGGGUAGUGGCUUACCAAGGCUUUGCCGGGUAGCCGGCCUGGGGGGGCGACCGGCCACAAUGGGGAUUGGGGACGGGCCAGACUCCUACGGGGGGCAGCAGGGGGGAAUAUUGCACAAAGGGCGGAAGCCUGAUGCAGCAACGCCGCGGGCGGGAUGACGGCCUUCGGGUUGUAAACCGCUUUCAGCAGGGGCGAAGCUUGUGGUGACGGUACCUGCAGAAGAAGCACCGGCUAACUACGUG
rnacentral:rRNA from 1 species